rnacentral:misc_RNA from 1 species
CCGAGGCCGGACCUUGGAAAUACCUGGCAACUCUGAUCCCAAUAUGAUCCCUGAUGGGGACUUUAACAGCUACGUCAGGGUUACAGCCUCAGAUCCAUUGGACACUUUAGGCUCUGAGGGGGCCUUGUCACCAGGAGGCGUGGCCUCCCUCUUGAGGCUUCCUCGAGGCUGUGGGGAGCAAACCAUGAUCUACUUGGCUCCGACACUGGCUGCUUCCCGCUACCUGGACAAGACAGAGCAGUGGAGCACACUGCCUCCCGAGACCAAGGACCACGCCGUGGAUCUGAUCCAGAAAGGUUCUGGGUGCAAGGGCAAGCAGGAGGGGGGCCAGGAAAGGACAGUUACUGGAAGAUGGACAGCCCAGGAGGCUACAGAGG